rnacentral:rRNA from 1 species
ACUUAGCGGGCUUGACAUGCCGCGAGUAGGAAACCGAAAGGGGACCGACCGGUUCAGUCCGGAAGCGGAACAGGUGCUGCAUGGCUGUCGUCAGCUCGUGCCGUGAGGUGUUGGGUUCAGUCCCGCAACGAGCGCAACCCUCGCCCUCUGUUGCCACCGGGUCAUGCCGGGCACUCUGAGGGGACUGCCAGCGACAAGUUGGAGGAAGGAGAGGAUGACGUCAAGUCAUCAUGGCCCUUAUGCCCAGGGCCACACACGUGCAACAAUGGCCGGUACAGACGGAAGCAAGACCGAGAGGUGGAGCAAAUCCGAGAAAGCCGGUCCCAGUUCGGAUUGAGGUCUGCAACUCGAGCUCAUGAAGUCGGAAUCGCUAGGGGAUGGCGUAUCAGCACGACGCGGUGAAUACGUUCCCGGGCCUUGUACACACCGCCCGUCACACCACGAAAGUCUGUUGUACCUGAAGUCGGUGCCCCAACCGGAAACGGAGGGAGCCGCCCAAGGUAUGGCC